UUACCGACGAAAUGAUUGCCACAC
rnacentral:siRNA from 1 species